AGAGUUUGAUCAUGGCUCAGAUUGAACGCUGGCGGCAUGCUUUACACAUGCAAGUCGAGCGGCAGCGCGGGGGCAACCCUGGCGGCGAGCGGCGAACGGGUGAGGAAUACAUCGGAACGUGCCCGAGAGUGGGGGAUAACGCCGCGAAAGCGGCGCUAAUACCGCAUAUUCUCUGAGGAGGAAAGUGGGGGACCGCAAGGCCUCACGCUCACGGAGCGGCCGAUGUCGGAUUAGCUAGUUGGUGGGGUAAAGGCUUACCAAGGCGACGAUCCGUAGCUGGUCUGAGAGGAUGAUCAGCCACACUGGGACUGAGACACGGCCCAGACUCCUACGGGAGGCAGCAGUGGGAAUUUUGGACAAUGGGGCAACCCUGAUCCAGCCAUGCCGCGUGCGGGAAGAAGGCCUUCGGGUUGUAAACCGCUUUUAACCGGGAAGAAAAGGCAUCUCUUAAUACGGGGUGUUCUUGACGGUACCGGUGGAAUAAGCACCGGCUAACUACGUG
rnacentral:rRNA from 1 species